GCUGUCGUCCAAACUAAGCCGAAAGCACCGGAUCCCAUCCGAACUCCGAAGUUAAGCGGCUUCAGGCAUGGUUAGUACUAAGGUGGGGGACCGCUUGGGAAGUCCAUGUGACGACAGCC